GACGAACGCUGGCGGUGUGCUUAACACAUGCAAGUCGAACGGUAAGGCCCUUUCGGGGGUACACGAGUGGCGAACGGGUGAGUAACACGUGAGUAACCUGCCCUCAUCUCUGGGAUAACAGUCGGAAACGGUUGCUAAUACUGGAUAUGAGCCUGCAAGGCAUCUUGUGGGUUGGAAAGAUUUUUUGGUUGGGGAUGGACUCGCGGCCUAUCAGCUUGUUGGUGAGGUAGUGGCUCACCAAGGCUUCGACGGGUAGCCGGCCUGAGAGGGCGACCGGCCACAUUGGGACUGAGAUACGGCCCAAACUCCUACGGGAGGCAGCAGUGGGGAAUAUUGCACAAUGGACGGAAGUCUGAUGCAGCAACGCCGCGUGCGGGAUGACGGCCUUCGGGUUGUAAACCGCUUUCAAUUGUGACGAAGCUUUUUGUGACGGUAGCAGUAGAAGAAGCACCGGCUAACUACGUG
rnacentral:rRNA from 1 species